AGUGAACGCUGGCGGCAGGCCUAACACAUGCAAGUCGAACGGCAGCACAGGAGAGCUUGCUCUCUGGGUGGCGAGUGGCGGACGGGUGAGGAAUAUAUCGGAAUCUACCCUUUCGUGGGGGAUAACGUAGGGAAACUUACGCUAAUACCGCAUACGAACUGAGGUUGAAAGCGGCGGACCGCAAGGCGUCGCGCGGAUGGAUGAGCCGAUAUCCGAUUAGCUAGUUGGCGGGGUAAAGGCCCACCAAGGCGACGAUCGGUAGCUGGUCUGAGAGGAUGAUCAGCCACACUGGGACUGAGACACGGCCCAGACUCCUACGGGAGGCAGCAGUGGGGAAUUUUGGACAAUGGGCGCAAGCCUGAUCCAGCAAUGCCGCGUGCAGGAAGAAGGCCUUCGGGUUGUAAACUGCUUUUGUACGGAGCGAAAAGGCUCUCUCUAAUACAGGGGGCUCAUGACGGUACCGUAAGAAUAAGCACCGGCUAACUACGUG
rnacentral:rRNA from 1 species